rnacentral:rRNA from 1 species
UACGUAGGGGGCAAGCGUUGUCCGGAUUUAUUGGGCGUAAAGAGCUCGUAGGCGGUUUGGUAAGUCUGAUGUGAAAGCCCACGGCUCAACCGUGGAGGGUCAUUGGAAACUGAGGGACUUGAGUGCAGGAGAGAAGAGUGGAAUUCCACGUGUAGCGGUGAAAUGCGUAGAGAUGUGGAGGAACACCAGUGGCGAAGGCGACUCACUGGUCCGGUACUGACGCUGAGGUGCGAAAGCGUGGGGAGCAAACAGG